AUCCAGGAUGCAGGGCAACACACAAGAUCUCGUCUUCAGCAAACCCCAGGGACUGGCACCGAGUGAGCAUGUUCAGAGCAGCCUACGAGGGAGACACAGAAGCAGACGGAUGGAUAUGACGAUGUGACCUUCAGUCUAUGAAAACUCCUUUCACAAUGAAAUCAAAAGGAUGCAACGCAACGCAAAGGAUCUUGUCUUCAGCCAGUCCCAGGCCCUGACACCGAGUGAGCACGUUCAGAGCAGCCUAGGAGGAACAUGGGCCAGAAGCAGGAGGGAGUGAAUGAUGCAUUCAAUUCUGUUCUUAAUUUUAAUGACAUAAACUGAGCAAAUACUUCAGCCUUUGCAUAGUAUGCACGCCCCUACCUUGCUGCAGCGGUAAUUAAUGAUGUGUCCUACAUUCCACCCAAGGACCUCGGUGAUGGAGCCACUUGCACUGGACACAUUGACAAUGGC